AGAGAGAGAGAGAGAUACUGGAUUUAUCUCUUUGCGUUUUGAGAUGACUGCAGUUGCCAUUCGCAUAAUUCUGAGCUUUGCAUCCUCCAUUAUGCUGCUUCUCGCAUUCUCAUCCAAAUUCAGGCACUGACAAAAUGUAUGUUCCUCGUUACGAUGUACCAACUCUGGAUCACAUAUUUGAUCCAAACCUUGUGUGAGUGUCGUCAUUGAGCCUGACACUGUCUUCAGAUUCAUGCAGACAUUUGCCCUUAGUUCUCUUAGCAGACACGGUAGCUCUGGUAAAGAUUGAAGCUGCUUGCAAGAUUUUACAUUUAGGAACGUCAGCCCAGAAACUUGUUUGAUGCUUGGAGGUAUGCUGUCAAUCAUGGUUCCACUAAGGUCUAUUUCUUUCAAUGAGCUUAAGCCAACCAUGAGGUGAACAGCUAUAUCUGUCAUACUUACGCAGUUACUCAGGUUUAGAUAAGAGAUUGAAGAGCACAAGACGACCAACGGUGGAGGCAAUUCUUUUAGUUUGCAACAGCCACUGAGUCUAAGAUUCUGAAGAAGUUUUAAUUUGUAGAUGCUACUGGGAACAGACACGAGGUGCUUGCAAUCAUAUACCCAUAAGGUUUUAAGCCCAACUAGAUUUUCGAUAGAUGGAUCUAGCUCUUUAACACGUGAUUCACUUAAGAGGAGGAUCUCAAGACAUUCCAUAGGCUCCAAGAUCUCUGGGAAGUCCUGGAAGUCAGUGCAACAACGUAGAUCAAGUUCCUUCAGACAUUUUAACUUCCAAAUGCGGGGUGAAAUACUCUUGAGGUUGUGGCAAUGUUGCAGUCUAAUCGAAACAGUCUGAGAGAGACACUCAAUUGAUGGAGGCAGUCGUGUUAUACUUGAUUGACCCAAAUCAAGAUGAGUGAGGGAAUUUAGCCUCCAGGUUUUGUUUGGAAGAGAAUAAAUCCAACUACACUGAUCAAGAUUCAAUUCGACAAGCCUCUCAAGAGACCAAACUGAAGAAGGCAAUUCUGAUAUUCUAGUACCACCUAAAUCCAAGAAUUCCAUAUUGCUCGGUAUCUCUGGAACACUUCUAAGCCUCCAGCAGUUCCCCAGAUUUAGAUAAGUAAGCUUAUGAAGACAUUCAAGAUAUAAGGGUACUUCGACCAACUUUUCACAGCCAUUAAGAUCUAUACUAACCAUAUUUGAACAAUGUGAGAGAUUUGGAACUUCAACCAAAUUAAUACAUCUUCUGAGAUAUAUACUCACAAGACUCCUUGGGAGGCAUGAAAUAUCAACCAGCUCUUUUGAGUAACUAAGAUCAAUCUUUUUUAAGUUCCGAGGAUUCUGUAACAAAUCAAAGAGAAAUAGCAAAGAUAACUUAACACGAUACAUAAGUUUUCCACACUACAUUCACUAUACAUGAAAGAAUUCAUUUAAGCAUACCUGGCCUUCACUCCAAACUGACUGGAGUUUGCUGUCGCGCAUAUGAAGUUCAACAAGAAAGCUUGGAGAAAACUUUGAUGGCAAAGAUUUGAAAGGGUACUCGGGCCAGCAAAGAUAUCUGAGGGAAUCAGGCAGACACGUAAGACUUUGAGGAGGGCGGAAUUUGUGGUGUGGCCAAUCAUAAGAGAAGCGACCAGCAAGAUUCAGGUAUCUUAGAUUAUACAUAUUCACAAAGGCUUGAGGAGUCAUGUUUACAUCAGUACUGGAACUAUCCACCCUGAGGGAUAUGCUCUGAACUGUUGCAAUUCCCUGACAAUCAAACCAAGUGUAAAUGAACUAGCAUACAAUAUACAACCAAAUUACUAAAAACUACUAUAACCCGUAAAAAUAAUCCGAGUUGAACUGUUUUUUUUAUAAGAAGACCAUGGAUACAAUAUAUAUAUAGGUAUUCUUUAGAUCAAAAGUUCAUGCAUUUUUUCAAAAGACCAUGGAUACAUUAAGCUCGUACCGUAUUUUGUCCUGAGUACAUGACAGAUAUCCUCACUAGUGCACAACCUGGUGCGUCUUCCAGGCUCUUCAGGACAUUGUUCACGGACAAUCUCCCAACCCAUUUCUUGUAUCACAUCGUGCACCCACAGACGGUUGUCCUUUAUUGUUACCAGUGACAUAUCAACAAGAACUUCAAUUCCACAAUCAGCAGAUAAACCACAAGCAUCUAACUGGUUUUUCACAAAACCUAUAUCUUCCCCUUUGUAAAAACAUGUGAUAUCAAGAAAUAUUUCUCUCUCAUUCUUUUCUAGUACAUUAUAGCUUACUCUAUAUACACUCUUCAGCUUUUCGUCAAGAGACAUCUUCAUUUCAUUCCAUAAACGUCUGUGGAACAAGGAACGCCAAAGUUUAAGGGCCAACGGAAUUCCUGCAGCAUAAUCUACAGCUCUCCUAACAAAUUCUGAAGAAGCUGGUGCUGAAAAAAUAUCUUUGGGAGCAUUCAAAACAAAGAGCUGUUGAGCUUCAUCAUCAUUUAAUUCUUCGACUUUGUAUAUCUCAAUAUCAUGGUCAUCUUCUUCCCUCAAUACUUUCAUCAGUCUAAGUUGUUGUAGAUCUCUAGUUGUUAUAAUGAUUCUGCUCCCGGGGCCAAAUGGAACUUUACUUCCAGCUAAAAAUUCCAAUUGGCUAGAGUCAUUCACAUCGUCAAGAACAACCAGGACUUUUGUUCGACAGAGCUUUGCUUUAACAAAAAAGUCUAUAGUUGGAGUCUGUAUACUUAUACUUCUGUCCCCUAAUAAAUUACGAAGAAGUUUAUUUCGCAAAUCAUAUAGUCCUUCUCCAGUCCCCGAUGCUUCCCUAAUGUUGGCAAGAAAACAAGAAGCUUUGAAUUGGGAAGAAAGUCGGUGAAAUACAAGAUCAACAAGGGUGGUCUUGCCAAUACCACCCAUACCCCAUACACCCACAAAGCAAACACGAUCAUCUUGGGGGGAAAGGCUUAGUAAUGAUUCGAUUUGCUGAAUGCGCCUUCCAACUCCAACAAAGCCCGUUAAAUCAACUGCGGAUACACGACUCAGUUUUGUCACAAUGACUUUGACAACUUGAUCAAUUAAAUGAGAUUCAUCCCUAAGACAUAUUACAAAGGACAAAAUUCAUGGUCAGCCACCUAACUGAUAACUCAAAAAUAAAGUAUUAACUAACAAAUAAAGUAUUUGUACAAGUUAUGGAUUUACCUAAUAGUGCUUGAAGUUGAAUCAAACCCAGAUAGAUUAGCUGCUUUUGUUAAAGCAUCCUUCCACUUGAGACGUUCUAUCAAUGUCCUAUCCUUGAAACACUCUUCCACUUCAUAAGUCUCCUUCUGGUGUCGUACAAUUGAUGGAUCUAUUUUAUAGAAAAUGGGGAUAACAAUCUGUCCAUAUCAUUCCUUGCAUUCCAGUAUAUGCACAAGUUCGUCCAAGCACCAUCUAGAAGAAGCAUAGUCUUUUGAGAUAAUAACUACAGAAAUCUUUGAUCCUUUGAUUGCUUUCAGAAGGGCAGGUGCAAUUUCAUCUCCUCUCUCAAGUCUGUAAUCUAUGUACGUUUCGAUUUUAUUCCCAUCUAAAGCCUUAUACAGAUGACUGGUAAAAGUCUUCCGCGUUUCUGUACCUCUGAAACUAAGAAAAACAUCAUACUUUUCCUUGGGCUGGAUGGCAGAAGAAGCGGAAGCCAUAUUACAUAUCCAGAAGUCUACAUAAUUGCAACACAUUUCGUUCGCUUUAUGAUGAUGUCCACAAUCGAGAAUGCAAACACUCUUCCAAGAUCGUAAUUCGAAACACUACAAAAAGAAAUAUUAGAGCACAUGGUUGAUCAUUUUUGAGUCUAGAAAGAAUGGAAAAAGUUUGGUGACGAAAGCAUAUAUAAACAUAUAUGGUAUUGAACUUACAUGUAAAAGAAAACAAAUCAAGCUGUGUAGAAGAAAGAGUAGAGAGAUAACUGAUGCUCAUCUACAAUUGGAUCAGAAAUUGGGACAAGAAUGUGUCGUACAUAGCAGGGGAAUGAUGAGGAACGAGAUAGGAAGACAGAUCUAUCUUUCAGUUGUUCAUUCAGAUCUAUUGCAAAUAAAUAUAUAUUGAAUAAGUAAGUCUAAGUCCGCUUUCCUUGCCUGGCUAGUUCAUGCUCUUCAUUUGAAUCUUCUAGUGUGCUAUGUAUCCUUAAUGCAGAAGAUAAGAACUAUAAAAAAAAAUAAUUAACAAUCGUGCCCACUAUGUUAUCUACCAUUUGUUAGUUUGACUUUCUGAUAAUGUGACAUUAUAUUUCUAAUAUAUACUAUUCCGAAUCUGUAGACUACAUUACAGAUAUAAUAACCAUUUGAGCAAAGAUUAAUCUGGGACCAAUGGCUACAUCUAAUAAUUUACCUCAUCGCAUUUGGAAAGCAAAAACCACAAUCGAGAAGAAGCUUUUAGUUGAGGAAACUGAGGGGUUGCGUUCAGAUUGUUGCUUCAGCUUAAAAUUAAUAAUAGCAUCAACCUGCAGUACAAGUCAAAUUAGGUCAAUUUCCUUUUUCUUGUUUUUAUUUAAAAUAAAAUCCGGGCGUGGGGCUGAGCCUCCCAGCUAGGCUGGGUUCCAAACCCUUUAAAAAAAAAAAAAAAAAAAAAAAAAAGGUCAAUUUCCUUUUCUGGUACUCCAGCUGUGGUAUACUGGUACACUAGUAUUUUGGUGAAAGGCUGAAUAACAAUGGUCAGUUAUGUGCUCAACUAAUUCAGACAAAAAUAUAAUCAACUAACUAUCAGUGAUAGAAAACAUAUGUUCCCCUUACAGAAGGAUAAAUUACUUAGAUUAGGCUGAGGAAAAGAGCUGUUCUUGGGACCUUAAAUUGAAUUAAGGAUUUGAAAACAGAAAUUGACAAAUAGAACCGAAAUCAUGUAGAACACACAAAAUAUUGAGAAAAUAACAAUAGUAGCAGAGCGUCCAGAAUCCUCGAGCAACAUACAUCAAUAACUAGUCCAUGUUAUGUUUUAUAAGCUGCUAUUAUUUCUAACAGGCAUUGUUGAUCAAAAGCAAUUGAGAGUAUACUGGCAUCCAAACUAAUCAAAUCAUUCAAGUAUUGCACUAUAUAACAUUUACCAAUUUUUCUAUAGCUUCUAGUUUGCUAUGCAAUCAAGACUAAUCAAAUGAUUCAAAUCAUUCAAUGAUCGAUUGACUACUAUGUCCAGUGUAAACAGAAAAAUUUAUAGAGACCAGUAUAGAAAUUAACAAACGUAUUGAUAGGCCUGUACUUGGAUGUAUGCAGAGAUGAUUCCACCAAGGAAAGCUCUCUCCUCCUGAGUUUUAUGUAUAUUUACAGCGACAGAAGUAUAUCUAAUAAUAAAUGAUUCAAAUCCAGACAUUAAAAAAAAUCUAGUUUGAUUUGCUAUUUAUUGUUUAACAGAUCCAAAUCUGUACUCUACCAUCUAUAUACAAGUGCUAUCAAGCUUGUUUGCUAGAUAUCCAAUGGUGAUAACAUACAUCAAUAGCGAAGGGAAUAAUACAUUAAAAUCAUAGAUCAAUAGCAUCAUGCUAACCUUGAGUAAGAGAACUCCUUAAAAAAGAUGUCACCCCUUGGAGGGACCUGUUUAACCACAUCUGCAUCUGAAAAUACCUGCAAUCAAGUAAUUCAGUUAGACUAUAUUAGGGUAUAUCGAAAAACAAGAAGAUUGUUUAAAGACAUUGUAAAAAUGUAUACAAGAGUAAUGGAUGGAUCCAUCUCAUUUAUAAGAGUAGCCGCGUAUGGAGCACAGUGGCACCAGCAUUGAUAAGAACAUUAGCCGCAGCCACAAGCUGGUCAUUGACCUCCGACUCCAACAUGUAAUGCUGCAAAUGCACAAAAAAUCCACCAACCAAAUUCAAAACCCAGUAAACAUAUCACACACUACUCACAAUUCACAGCUGACAACGCACAAUUGGGUCCAAACUUACCUCUUAUCUUCCCAACAAAGAAGAUAACACAGAAUCGACUAAAAAAGGAAAGUUUCUUAUUUGGGGAGAUUGAAAGAACCUGGCCGAGUGAUUUGCGGGGGAAGCGGCCUUUGGAGUUGAGGGCGGUAAGAGUGGAGUGGUAGUCAUCCGGGUUCUUUCUUCUUCCUCCUCCUGUCUUUCGUGUUGUUUUGGCGCAAGCUGUUAUAUAAGUUGGGGUGGAUUGUCGUGCGCCGGGGGUACUAUUGUGCGCCGCGAGUGUGAGUUUUGGGUUUUGUAUUGGCGGGAGAGAUUGGUGAAGCAGAAGAAGAUGAGGGGCUGAGUUCAUGUCUCUCUGUUAUUGUUGGCUUGAGGAAGUGUGACUGUGUGAGACUAGUUUUUUUUUUUUGGAAAUGAAGUGUGAGACUGCUUAUGUUUUGAUUGUUUUCCCAGAACCAACGAGUCCCUUCUUUUUGUUUUUUAUUUUGUUUUGUUUUUAUUUUAAGAAAUUUUAUUUAGACAUGACUAAAUACAAAAUACAUAUCUCACACUUAAUAAACCCCCAAAUAACUUUAUAAUUGUUAUAAAUAUUAUAAUCUAUGUGGCUGUCCACGUAAUUAUUCAUUAGUUAUGUACUCUGAUGUAAACUCUACCUCUAUAUAAAAAGGCUAAUGAGAAUGAAUGAGUAGUCUUCUAUCUCUUCCCAACUAUUCUCUUUGUGUUAUCUCUUUCUCUCUUCUUUACUUUACAACACGUUAUCAGCAUGACUCUACCUUGAGUUGAUAACGACUAAACUCUAGAAAACCAAAACUAUUUUGUGUUUUAUUUCCUAACUCAAUGAUGAUCUAAAAGAUCAGACGGUGCAACUUAAUUGUUGUUUUUCACCGAUGCUCUUGCGUGUUCUUAACUCAAACGUUAUAUGAUAUGAUGCCUUUAUUUUAUAUUAAUUGGUUUUCCAAAAGUGCGUCGAUCAUUUUGUCUUUUGCAAUACUCUUGUCAAUUUAGUAUAUGACCACAAGAUCAAAUUGUAGCUGGGUCUCCAUUCGCGAUUGAGUUCGCGUUUGUAGAUUUCGGGCUCAAAGAAUUGGUUUUGAAUUUGAGCCAAAAGAGCACUGGGCUUCCAUCCGGAGACGGAGAUGGUCAGAGCCGCACGACCAAAAUCUUGGUUCGGGGUUUGGAACUUGUGGUCGUCGGAGACCAAUGGACCAACUUUGAUGAACUGGAGAUGAUAUCCAGCUCCAUUCGGACUUGAGCGUCCCGUGAGCGUCUGGAGAUGAGUUGUUAAAUCUUGAUCUGAAUGGGGUGACGUUGUAUACGUUUGAUUUUGAGCAAAGCACAGAGACCCCAUAAUUGAUCGCUCACCCAAGAGAUUCCAGAGUUGAUUUCGAGGUGAAUUGGAUCGCCCAAACUCAACCAGUCUUGAAUCUGCAGAGAUCUAUUGCUGUGCUAUCUAAGUUGUGGACUAGCUGUCCAAGCCCUCUCGCGUUCGAAAACAGAGCAGAGGCCUGUGCCUUUUUAUGGCUUCACUUGCGCACAUAUUAGAUUAAUUCGUCUGCUUCUAUUAGCUUUUAGAAAACUGUUAUCCGUACAUCAUGAUAUAUUUGCUUACCCAUGAUCUAUUAUCCAGAAACUUUUUGUUGAUCAACUUCCAUUGUUGGGUUUAUCAAUUUGUUUUCCUAGUAGUCAUAGAAUAAGCGAUUUGAUCAUUGAUUUACUUGAUAUGCAUGAGACGAUCUAUGAGCUACAUGAUUCUUUGCUUUGGACUUUGUUAUGCAAAGUUUAUGAUUUCACAUUGCUUUGCAGGCUGACAUAUAUAUUUGCUAUCAUAUGCAAGGCAUCAGUACCUUUCGCCCUUUCAGAGCCGGCCCUGGGGUAGUGCAAGCCGUACCGCCGCACAGGGCCCCCGGCCGGCAAAGGGCCCUUUUUUUUUCUUGGUAUUAAUUUUUCUAUCAUAUAUUAAAAAUCUUUAAGAUGUUGGAAGAGUGUGUGUAGUCGAGUUGGUCAAGGCGUUCAGGGAGGGAAUNNNNNNNNNNNNNNNNNNNNACAACACAAGUAAUGAUAUAAGUAUCUUAGAAAAUAAAAAAUAACGAUAUAAUUUUACUGGUUGUUUCUUGAUUGAAUACUAUUAUUGAACUAUCUUCAUAUUUAUUUAAUUAUUUGAUUUUUUUUUCUGCAUCGAACACAAAGGCCCCAAAUUUUGUUUCGCACAGGGCCCUUCAAAACAUUGGGUCGGCCCUGCGCCCUUUCAUUGACAUCAUUCAUAAAUUUUGAGUAUAUGUAAAUCAAGUUUGGCUCAACUUGGACAACAUUUCAAGACCUCUGACUCAGAGACGAGAUUUGUGUUGAAAGUAUAAGGCUUGAGUUAAUUUUCCCUUAUGGUAAUAUUCUAUACCCAUAAUUUGGGUAGACUUCAAGUUCUACGGAACACUCUGUGUUUUGCUUCCAUUUAUGUUUCCAGCUUCCAUUUUUCUCAAGAUUGUUAUGGUCUCCUUAGCUUGAUUAUUUGCAUGAUUAUGAUGAAGCAUGAAAUAUAUCACUAUGCAUAUUGAUUUUUGAUUUCAGAUCGUGACCUUAAGUCUCUUGAUCAAACUAUAGAGGGCCUGAAGUUCCUCGAGAGUAAUAUAUAAUUGAAAUUACGAUAUGAAGUUUCUCAAAACUUAUGCAAUUACCAAGGGCCAAAAGUUACCUCAUAGUUAUACAAUGAUCGAAACCACAUAUUGUGAUCCCUGAUCAUAUACGGGUCUGAAGUCCCUAAUCAUAUUGCGAUAUUAAUUGCAUGUGUAAGUACAUGAGAUCAAGAAAACAAUAUUAUCAUAUUUGAUAAAGUUAACUAGACCUGAAGAUAUGUGUAAUUUAUUUAUUCAUGGAAUCAGAAGUUUCCUAUGUACAAUUUAUUUACUUUUUGUUAUUUACAAUUUUCCUAUUUUGUUAUGUACUGUCAUUCCACUACUUAUCUUUUAAAUUUUAUUAUCAUUCAUAUGGGCCGACAACCCUAUAUCUUGAAGAUAUAAAUCUCGAAUGUCAUGUUUUUGAACCAGAAGUUCAAGAUACGAUACAGUAGAACUCGAAAUUCUAACAAUAGAAACUCAAACCCAAAGCUUUGAGCAUAUAUAAAUAUGAUUUAACUAAAUGUGAACUUAAAGUUUCACUGGGUUACUCAAGCCUGAAGUUUCGAGCACUAGAAUUAUUUGAACCCGAAGUUUGACAUACGAAGUCUGAGAACUUGUCGUUCUAACAUUAUAAAUUCGAACCUAAAGCUUCGAUUUCACAUAUGAUUGAUGGCUCCAGAAGAGCACUCUCUUUGAAUGAAGUGUGUCCAAUGCAGUUCAAAAUCGAUUAAUAUAUGAUAUAAAUUGUGCCAAAAUUUUAUAGUGAAUUAAGGCACAUAAGAUCAUGAACCAAAAGUUCAUUAAACCAAAUACAUUAUUUGGCAUGACAAGUUAAGUCAUAUUUUACUUAUAAUGUUGCCUGGAAUCAAUAAUAAGUUUUGAUAACCACUAGUCCUAAUCAUAACCGAUCGUUUAUUUGACACUUUAAUGAGACAAUCCUCCUGUCAUGAGGGGGAGAGAGAUUGUUCAUGAAGAACGAUGUAAAGUGGUGUAAGUUGUUUUACAUCAUCUUAUUUUGAUUUUGAGAAAUGUCAUAGUUAGUGGUUGAUAAAAGAUCUUGACAAAAGUAAAUGCAAAAGCACAUGCUUGUUUUUAAAGUCCUCGAGAACAACCAUAUUGAUCUCAUUUGAUUUGUGGGAUGCAUGUGUAUCCAAGUGACAUGGUUAUCCUGAAGAGAAUGUCAUGAUACAAUGUUAGAGUUCCUAAUUCGGCUACACCUACAAAGGUUGUAGGUACGCCAUUAGAGAAUGAUAUUUUGAUUGAUAUUAAUGAAUAUAAUGUUUUUGACCUCAUCUUUUGUUUAGGUUCGCCACCAUCCAAUGAACAUCUCAAUUAAGAGAAAGUGAUAGAACUUUAAACGCAUAUUUGCGGAUGGUCAUAACAUGACAGUCUUCCCGCCGUUAGGGAGAGAAUAAGACUAUUGUCAUUUGAAUAACGGCGUGAAUUUGUAUGGAAUGUAUCCACAAAGUCUAAAGUUGUAAGCUCCUGAAAAUUGAAGAUUAUACAUGUCCUAUAAUGCUCUAUGUGAUAUUACAAGUAAAAAAUCCACAUUCACUAGAUAUUUGUUCUUGAAGUGACAAUAUUUACCCUAGAAGUGGUAUGAGUACCCAAAAAUCAAAUGCAUGCAUAUAAGAAUGUGUGGGAUCUAUGAAUGAUGAUCAUCUAUGACAAUUUACAAAUGUAGUUACCAAAGACCAUUAAGGAUUGUAUUAAUCGAUGUUAUAUCACGUUUCAUUAUGUAUGUCGGCAAAGCAUAUUAUUGGCCAAAUUGUACAGAGGCAAUUCGAAUGAAACUCAAUAUUUGAAACAUGAUGAGAUUCUUUGAUCUUUAACCCUAAAUGAUACAAAAGGGUAUUGAUCAUAGUGAAACUAAAUCACUAUGGCAUAAUGUCUACAAGAGACAUGGAGAUUAUGAAUAUAUUUCCUUAUACAUGACAAUUUUCUGUAAGUACAGUAUUAUAUAAUAGAUAUAGUUGUUAUUGACGAGAGACUUACGACAUUUGUCAUUGUAUAUUAUGAGGAUCAUAAAAGACACGUUGCUAAAAACAAAUUCCCAAAAAUGAAGUCAUUACCUUAUAGGAUUCAAGUACAUGAAUGAUUCUAAUGUAAUUCGAUCCAUGAAUAAAACAAAGCUAAUUCACACUACACAAAGAUUUUGAUGUGUAUGACUAGAUACGCCAUGAGAUAUUUCAAUGUUUUAAUAUCAAUUUGCUUAUGUUGUCUAGCUAUUACUUAGUGUAUGAAUUUGAUCAUAUGACUAAAUGAGGUAAGACGUAUUAAAAAUCGUUUAGCUUUGUUGGUAUUGUUUUAACUUUGCAGGUACACAAUUUCAUGAUGAGCCCCUAUAUGCAAAACACGCAUGGUCUCACUUUAGUGAUGGACAAAUCAAACCAUUAUUUACGACGCAUGAAGCUUGCAACGUUCAGGGGGAGAUUCUCAUCAAGGAGAAAAGAGCACGUUGUACUCUUUUCUCCUUCGACCAGGGUUAUUUUUCUCCCAUUGGGGUUUUCUUACCUGGCAGGUUUUAAACGAGACAACAUUAUGCGCGUCUAAUUUCAUCAUUCAUUGGUGGACAUCCAAGGGGGAGUGUUAUAAAUAUUAUAAUCUAUGUGGUUGUCCACGUAAUUACUCAUUAGUUAUGUACUCUGAAGUAAACCCUACCUCUAUAUAAAGAGGCUAAUGAGAAUGAAUGAGUAGUCUUCUACCUCCUCUCAACUAUUCUGUUUGUGUCUUCUCUUCCUCUCUUCUUUACUUUACAACAAUAAUAUUAUCAUUUUACUAGAUACACAUCUUUAAAUUUCUUAAACUACCCUUAUUCAAAAUAUACCAAUACUACCAUAUAUAUUUUCUAAAUACACAUUUAUUCCUUUUUUAUAUUAUCUCGACUUAGAAAGAAAAUAAAAUUUUCUCUCUAAACAACGAGAAGACUAUUUUUUCUUUGCAAACUCAAAAGCAUUCAACUCCACCAUGAUUGAUCAAGUUAUGUAGAAUCCUAUGCAUAUUCAUCAUUUUGGACAUUUUGCACCCAAACAUGUUUUAGAUCAUUGCAAAACAGAUGCCAAGCUAGAUCACCAGUCUCUUCUGUUUGAAAACCUCGAGCAUAGAUACUCCACUUGUUUUCAGGAUAGACAGUACCAUUCUAAGUCUUUGCAUAGUCGAAGCCAGCCAAAAACCUUCAUCUACUUGGGGGAAUCCAUUAUUAUAAAUCAUUAAUGUGACGACUCAGAAAAAAAAAAUUUAUUUUGCUCUAAUCAUUUUUUUUACUGUUUGGUAUCUUUGUGUGUGAAUAUUUGUAUAUAUGUAUAUAUAUUUAUAUAUGUUGAAUUAGUCUAGUUAUUUUUUUUUUAUUUCAUCUUAUUUUGGUUCAAGUAGAGAGUUUUUAGCCCAUGUUAAAACCUUGACCCGAGCCCAAACCCGAGCCCAAAUGUAGAAUUAGUUUUUAGGAGAAAAAAAGGCAGAUGUCGGGCAAAUUUGCAAAAGGAUGCUCGGACUUCUUUCAUCGUCUUCUUCUCCCUGACAUUCUCCCAAUCUGAAAACUUUCUCUAACCGCCUAAAAAAAACCCAGUAGCCGCCUUAGAAAAGUCCAAUUUGACGGCUACCGCCAUGAAUAAGUAGGAGGUGUCAAAACCCUGGAGGUCAGCUGCUGAAUCUUUGAAGCUAUACCACAGGAGCUAGAACCCUAGAGGUCUAGUCUAGCACCUAAACGAGUAAGAAUUCAGUUGAACAAUCCAAUUUUGCUUCUUGUGUUCUUCUCUUGGACGCCAAGUUUUAUCCCCUUUUUAGACCCUAUAAAUAGGACUGAGUUAUGUAGAUUUUUUGGGUUUUCAGUAGUCUUUCCUACUGAGAGAGAGAGAGAGAGAGAGAGAGAGAGAGAGAGAGAGAGAGAGUAGAGAGAAGNNNNNNNNNNNNNNNNNNNNGAGAGAGAGAGAGAAGAGAAAUUGGUGUUGUAGGAAAUUAGCAGAAGAAUUCAGGUUUGCAUUUUUUAUGUUCUUGAUCAAUUGGUUAUCCUUUGUGAACCAUGUUGUGACUUUUGUAUGUAUGCUUCUUGUUAUAGAGGAUCAUCUUGGUAUGAAGUAAAGCAUUAGGAUUGGGUUUUUCUUUGUUGUUACCUAUUGGGAAUCAUCUUUGAAAAUGGAAACUUGAUUUGAGUCAAAAACUGUAAUUUUCUGAUUCUGGUCUUCAAAGUCCGAAAAUCAUAAGUAUUUGUAGAUAAUUUCUUAUGCUGCGAUUUCAGUUCCUGAUUGAUCUUUAGGUUGUCCUUUACAAAUGUUAUGAAGACACCAACUGUAAAUUCCCAGUCAAGCUAUGUCGUUUUUAGCCAUAAAGUUUACUGGUCAGAAAGUUAGGAAGUUGUUUUGUGAUUACAGAUUUCUGUUUUUAAUUGCACUCUUUGUUUUUGAAUCUUUGUUUCUUUUGAUAUGCGAUUGUGUAGAUAUUGAGAUUGAUUCAUGAAGUUCCAAUACAUGUCAUUAUUUUUAUUAUUGAAGGUAGAGACCAAAGGUAGGGAAUGCUUAAAAGCUAGUCAUAAGACUAGAAGGUUAUAACUUUUACAUGUUGUCUAUAAGCUGAUUUUUGUGGUAAUCAUAUUUAGCCAUUUAUGUUGCAAGUUUUGUGUGUUUCUUUUUGAAACAUUGAAGUGUUUAUGUUCAGUUGCUAGAAGCUUUGUACCACAUAGUGUCUGAUUUGCUUUCAAAUACAAAGUUUAGGCACUUUUAGCAAAAUUUCCAGAAAAAACCUGAAACUGUUACUGAACUUUGAAAUUGCAUAUCUAAUUACAGAAAAAUCGUUCUGAGGUGAUUCAAAUUCUGAAAGCUUCUCUAGGAUGUCUAGUUUAUUUCUUUAGAAGGCCAUGAAGUCAAAUUCCUUAUGGAUUUGUACAGUUUUUGUGGUGAAGGUGACUGGGUCAGAAAACUGCAGUCGUUCUUUGUGUUCAGUAAACUUGUUUUCGGAUCAACUGACUUGUCAUGUUGUUUGGGUGUUUUAUCCAGUUAAAUACUUUAUACUUAGAGUACUAGAACUAAUGAGUUGCAUUACUAAAAAAGUACUUGUUGUCUUGGUCAGGAACUUGCUGUGAGAAUCGACAAGAUAGGGGGGAUCUUGGGGUAGAACUUUUUAUGAUUGGAUACUGAUUUUGUGUGCUUAGUUGUUAUGUCAUUUUAGUUAACAUUGUUUGUCUUGAUUUCAUUGAUGAUAUUUGGAUUCCAUAUACUAGCCUUCCUACACGCGCUCGCGCGCGUGCGGAAGUGUGUUUUCUGUAGCUUUAUUUUAAAAGCAAUUGUGUCAGGGUAAGCUACCUAGUUUCCCUAUAUAGUAAAGUGGGUGCAACACUUUACUGUUUACAAGCACCCUGGCAAUUACCAAUUUAUCCUCAUUUUUAUUUUAUUUACGGACUGUCAUUCAGUUUGAGAGAGAUAGUGACAAUUGUGUAAAUUACUAAAAAACAGAGGAUAAAUUGGUAUUUAAAGAACGGAUGGCAGAUGCGUAAAUUCGUAAAAAGGCGGGGUAGAAUAGUAAUUUUCACAGUUUAUGUAUAAUUACAAUACUACCCUCAGUCUGUUUAAAGUUAUCUUUCUGUCCUCACAUUUUCUGUUAAUUACACAUGCAUGUCACGAAUCUUACCUUGAUACAUAGCACUUAAAAUUAGACUGAAUGGCAAG
rnacentral:lncRNA from 1 species